rnacentral:misc_RNA from 1 species
UUGAUUUUUAAAGAUGUGCUGGCCUUCUAUUGGCAUGUGCACUCUUAAAAACUCCAAUAUCCACCUGUGCACAUUCUGUAGGCAUUUAUCUGCCUAUGCUUUUUUAUACACACUAUUGAUAUAUAUGAAUGUCAAUUUUAAUCAAUUGUAAAA